GGUUGAAAAUUUUGUCCAUUUCUACAGUUAAAAAUCAAUGUAGCUAGCAAAAUAAUCAGAUAGUUAUUCGUGGUAUCUCAUGCUAACAUGCACAGAUCAGUUUUUAAUGGUAGAAAUAGAUUAAAUUUUUAAUA
rfam:Gossypium hirsutum cultivar TM-1 unplaced genomic scaffold scaffold1263.1, whole genome shotgun sequence